rnacentral:rRNA from 1 species
GCCAGACUCCUACGGGAGGCAGCAGUGGGGGAUAUUGCACAAUGGGGGAAACCCUGAUGCAGCGACGCCGCGUGAGUGAAGAAGUAUUUCGGUAUGUAAAGCUCUAUCAGCAGGGAAGAAAAUGACAGUACCUGACCAAGAAGCCCCGGCUAACUACGUGCCAGCAGCCGCGGUAAUACGUAGGGGGCAAGCGUUAUCCGGAUUUACUGGGUGUAAAGGGAGCGUAGACGGUUAUGUAAGUCUGGAGUGAAAGCCCGGGGCCCAACCCCGGGACUGCCCUUGGAACUGUGCGGCUAGAGUGCGGGAGGGGCAGGCGGAAUUCCUGGUGUAGCGGUGAAAUGCGUAGAUAUCAGGAGGAACACCAGUGGCGAAGGCGGCCUGCUGGGCUUUUACUGACGCUGAGGCUCGAAAGUGUGGGGAGCAAACAGGAUUAGAUACCCCAGUAGAC